GCCCGGGUGGCGGAAUUGGUAGACGCGCACGACUCAAAAUCGUGUCUCGAAAGGGGUGGGAGUUCAAUUCUCCCCCCGGGCA
rnacentral:tRNA from 1 species